CCUACGGGUGGCAGCAGUGGGGAAUAUUGGGCAAUGGGCGCAAGCCUGACCCAGCAACGCCGCGUGAAGGAAGAAGGCCCUCGGGUUGUAAACUUCUUUUAUCAUGGACGUAGCAAGUGACGGUACCUGAUGAAUAUGUCACGGCUAACUACGUGCCAGCAGCCGCGGUAAUACGUAGGUGGCAAUCGUUAUGCGGAUUUACUGGGUGUAAAGGGUGUGUAGGUUGGAAAGCAAGUCAGAUGUGAAAACCAUGGGCUCAACCUGUGGACUGCAUUUGACACUGUUUUUCUUGAGUUCUGGAGAGGCAGACGGAAUUCCUAGUGUAGCGGUGAAAUGCGUAGAUAUUAGGAGGAACACCAGUGGCGAAGGCGGUCUGCUGGACAGCAACUGACGCUGAGGCGCGAAAGCGUGGGGAGCAAACAGGAUUAGAUACCCGUGUAGUC
rnacentral:rRNA from 1 species